GGGGUAUUAGUAAAACAAAUUACAUUACCUUGUCAAGGUAAAAUUGUGGGUUAAAUCCCCACAUAUCCCU
rnacentral:tRNA from 1 species